rnacentral:rRNA from 1 species
GACGAACGCUGGCGGCGUGCUUAACACAUGCAAGUCGAACGGAAAGGCCUGCUUUUCCUUGUGGAUUGCGGGUACUCGAGUGGCGAACGGGUGAGUAACACGUGAGUGAUCUGCCCCCAACUUGGGUAGAAGCCUGGGAAACUGGGUCUAAUUCCCGAUAGCACUGCAGGGUGGUGCCUGUGGUGGAAAACGAUUUUCUAGUGGUUGGGGAUGAGCUCGCGGCCUAUCAGGUUGUUGGUGGGGUAAGGGCGUACCAGGGCGGCGACGGGCAGCCGGCCUGGGGGGGUGGACGCCCGCAUUGGGGCUGGGACACGGCCCGAACGCGUACGGGAGGCAGCAGUUGGGGGAGGAGGACGAGGGGCGGAAGCCUGAUGCGGCGACGCCGCGUGGGGGAUGCCGGGCUUCGGGUAGUAAGCUCCUUUGGACGGCGAGGGAGCCACCUGGUUGGGAAGGUGGUGACGGUAGUGGUAGAAGAAGCGCCGGCUAACUACGUG